GUUGACCUCGGAUCAGGUAGGAAUACCCGCUGAACUUAAGCAUAUCAAUAAGCGGAGGAAAAGAAACCAACAGGGAUUGCCUUAGUAACGGCGAGUGAAGCGGCAACAGCUCAAAUUUGAAAUCUGGCCCUCGGGUCCGAAUUGUAAUUUGUAGAGGAUGAUUUUGGUGCGGUAUCUUCCGAGUUCCUUGGAACAGGACGCCUUAGAGGGUGAGAGCCCCGUACGGUUGAAUGCCUAGCCUCUGUAAAUCUCCUUCGACGAGUCGAGUAGUUUGGGAAUGCUGCUCUAAAUGGGAGGUAAAUUUCUUCUAAAGCUAAAUAUUGGCCAGAGACCGAUAGCGCACAAGUAGAGUGAUCGAAAGAUGAAAAGCACUUUGAAAAGAGGGUUAAAUAGCACGUGAAAUUGUUGAAAGGGAAGGAUUUGUGACCAGACUUUUUCUGGGCGGAUCAUCCGGGGUUCUCUCCGGUGCACUUUGCCCAGUAAAGGCCAGCAUCGAUUUUCGGCGGCGGAUAAAAGCAGUGGGAAUGUGGCUCCCUACGGGGAGUGUUAUAGCCCAUUGUAUAAUACGCUGCUGGGGAUCGAGGUACGCGCUUCUGCAAGGAUGCUGGCGUAAUGGUUAUCAAUCACCCGUCUUGAAACACGGACCAAGGAGUCGAACAUUUAUGCGAGUGUUUGGGUGUUAAACCCUCACGCGUAAUGAAAGUGAACGGAGGUGAGAGCCCGUACGGGUGCAUCAUCGACCGAUCCUGAAGUUUUCGGAUGGAUUUGAGUAAGAGCAUAACUGUUCGGACCCGAAAGAUGGUGAACUAUGCGUGGAUAGGGUGAAGCCAGAGGAAACUCUGGUGGAGGCUCGCAGCGGUUCUGACGUGCAAAUCGAUCGUCAAAUCUGCGCAUGGGGGCGAAAGACUAAUCGAACCAUCUAGUAGCUGGUUACCGCC
rnacentral:rRNA from 1 species